CAGAGGGUCAACCACACACAUUGAGGCAACAGAGAAGACAUAGCAGGUGCUGCAGUCAACAAGAUGGCCGACUUCGAUAGAGCCCACCAAAGACAGCAUCAGGCUUCUCCCAGGAGCCACUAUAAUGCAGAAGUGCCCAUGGGUUGGGUUGUUAUGGGAGAAUCCACAACCCACUUCACGUUUGGUUUCUGAAGCAAACAGCAGUUCUACAGCAGGAGGCGUGAGUGGUCUACUUGGCUACCGUGAGAGGAUUCCUCAUCCACAAAUACUGAAGGGAAUUGAGUCAAGAAAAGAAAACCAACCACACUCCCAGAUCUGUUCCCCAAGAGCUGGCACCAUUGUGUCCGUCUCCAGAGAUACUAGACGUCAGCAUUUCCCAUGAACAGCACUGUGGCAGCCAUUGAGCUAAUGCUUGCAGAACUCUGAUUGAAGACUAAGGUGGCAUUUUCUGAAUUUGGGGGAAGUGUUGUUGAUAGUCGUGAAUCUCAGAGUUGUAAUGUCUGUUACUGGAGGCUCUCAGGUCACCCAAGUUUCAGAAGAAGAUAUGGUGUAUGGUGAUGUGUCCCCUUGGUCCCCUUGUCCCCUUUCAUUUACACUGGUCCUCUUGUUCAUCACUUCCAACCAGGAGCCGAUCACACACUAGGCAUGGAAGGUGGACCUUAUGAACAAGGUGGAAGCCAGAGGGAUUCAAGUGACUAUCUCUCCUUCGGUCAUCUAA